AGUAGCUUGCUAUGAGCUUGUUUAGCGGCGGACGGCGAGUAACGCGUGAGUAACCUGCCUCACACUGGGGGAUAACAGUUAGAAAUAGCUGCUAAUACCGCAUAAGCGCACGGUUCCGCAUGGAACAGUGUGAAAAACUCCGGUGGUACGAGAUGGACCCGCGUCUGAUUAGCUAGUUGGUGAGGUAACGGCUCACCAAGGCGACGAUCAGUAGCCGGCCUGAGAGGGUGAACGGCCACAUUGGGACUGAGACACGGCCCAAACUCC
rnacentral:rRNA from 1 species